UACGUAGGGUGCGAGCGUUGUCCGGAAUUAUUGGGCGUAAAGAGCUCGUAGGCGGUGUGUCACGUCGUUCGUGAAAACUCACAGCUCAACUGUGGGCGUGCGGGCGAUACGGGCAGACUGGAGUACUGCAGGGGAGACUGGAAUUCCUGGUGUAGCGGUGGAAUGCGCAGAUAUCAGGAGGAACACCGGUGGCGAAGGCGGGUCUCUGGGCAGUAACUGACGCUGAGGAGCGAAAGCGUGGGGAGCGAACAGG
rnacentral:rRNA from 1 species